rnacentral:misc_RNA from 1 species
GAUGAAGAACGCAGCGAAAUGCGAUAAGUAAUGUGAAUUGCAGAAUUCAGUGAAUCAUCGAAUCUUUGAACGCACAUUGCGCCCCCUGGUAUUCCGGGGGGCAUGCCUGUUCGAGCGUCAUUUCACCACUCAAGCCUCGCUUGGUAUUGGGCAACGCGGUCCGCCGCGUGCCUCAAAUCGACCGGCUGGGUCUUCUGUCCCCUAAGCGUUGUGGAAACUAUUCGCUAAAGGGUGCUCGGGAGGCUACGCCGUAAAACAAACCCAUUUCUAAGGUUGACCUCGGAUCAGGUAGGGAUACCCGCUGAACUUAAGCAUAUCAAUAAGCGGAGA